rnacentral:rRNA from 1 species
UACGGAGGGUGCAAACGUUGCUCGGAAUCACUGGGCGUAAAGCGCACGUAGGCGGCUCGCAAAGUCGGAUGUGAAAGCCCUGGGCUCAACCUAGGAAGUGCAUUCGAAACUGCCGAGCUUGAGUACGGGAGAGGGAUGCGGAAUUCCCGGUGUAGAGGUGAAAUUCGUAGAUAUCGGGAGGAACACCAGUGGCGAAGGCGGCAGCCUGGACCGAUACUGACGCUGAGGUGCGAAAGCGUGGGGAGCAAACAGG